CCUCGUCCACACACGAAUAAAGAAACAAAACAUCAAAUUAAAAAAAAAACACACACACACACACACAAUAUCCUAUCUGCUUACGAAUCCUAAUUCAAUCUAACAACAGCCAUGGCUGACAAAAUACUUGUUCGGAGGAAGAAGAUCUGAUUUCAUCCCUCUCCUUAAUAAACUUCCGUUAUACCAAAAAUGUUGGGAGCUUUGCAAUUGGGUAUCAUGGCUGCCUUCGUGGUGGUUCUGGUACCCAUGGGCAUGGCCGGAUGGCAUCUCAGCCGCAACAAGAUGCUUUUCUUCAGUGGGGCCCUCUUCAUCACUCUCGCCAUUGGCGUCCACCUCACUCCUUACUUCCCUUCCGUGACCGACUUUGUCUCCUCCGUUUCCUCCGUCGUCAUCAUCGACAACCGCCACUCUUGUAUUUCCCUCCUCCACAACGUUGUUUGGAAUGUCACCCACUCUCGUCCCAACUCUUCCCAAUACGACAAGUCGUGGGCUUGGUCCUCCCACGACGACGCCGUUUCGGUUUGUGCCUUCCAGAAGCUCACCCGAUCCGACGCCUCUGAUCUCCUAAAUGGGUCGUGGGUCGUCGUUGCCGGCGAUUCCCAGUCCCGAUUCGUCGUCCUCUCGCUUCUGGGAUUGGUCAUGAAACCCCAAGCCGUCGAGUCCGUGAGAAGUGAUCUCUUCAAAAGGCACAGCGAUUACCGGACUGUGGUCGAUGAGAUCGGGAUGAGAUUGGAUUUCAUCUGGGCUCCGUACGCAUCCAAUUUGACCGAUUUGGUUAUGGCAUUCAAGCGAAGUAGGAACUCUCCCGACGUUUUGAUCAUGGGCUCAGGGUUAUGGCAUAUGCUUCGGGUCACGAAUGAAUCGGAUUACGGGGUUUCGUUACGGGUGUUGAGAAACUCCGUGGUUGCGUUGCUGCCAUUUUCGCCGGAGCUCGGAAUGGAUGGACCCGUGACGGGGUCCGUCUCCGUAAGAUCGCCGCAUCUUUUCUGGAUUGGAAUGCCGACAUUGAUAAACUCAAUGUUGAAUACGGAGGAGAAGAGGGUGAAAAUGACUGAUGAAAUGAGAAGCGCUUAUGAUAGAGAGCUAUGGAAAAGUAAGCUUUUGCGACAAUCUGGGGGACCCCUUUUGAUGCUUGAUAUGGCAUCAUUGAGUUGGAGUUGUGGAGUUCGGUGUACGGUCGACGGGAUGCAUUAUGAUUUGCCUGUCUACGAAGCUGCACUUCAGAUCAUGUUAAAUGCAUUGCUUAUUGAAUCUCAUCAAAAGCUCUGAACAAGAACACACACACACAGGCUUCUUCAUACCAUAUUUUAUGAUUCAAAGCUGCCUUUCUCUACGUACUCUUCUUAUAUGAGCUACUAUUUUGGGACCGUAUCCAAGCAGACUCUACACCAUUAAAUAAAAUUGAACAAGUUUCUACAGAGACAUGUUCCACCUAUUGUAUCCAACUGAGAAAGAUGCCCCGUUACCCCCCCAAAAAACAACCACCUCGAAGACUGAUCGGGUCGAAAAAGUAAUAGAAAAAAGUCCUGAUGCAGCAUCAGGGGAUGAGGGAAUAUCAAAGGCUGGGGACAUCAUCACCCGGUGCUCGUUCGAGAGAAUUGGCCGAAUCUUAUCAGUCAUGUCGCCAGAGCAAAAGGAGGUGGCUGCAAUCACAGGAUUCGGUUCUCUAAUGAGGAUUGAUGGUCCGAGCACUAAUAGUAGCUUAAUUCAAUGGUUGGUUAAGAACGUUGACACGACCGAUAACAAGUUAUGCAUAUAUGGAAAGGAGUUCUACAUCAACGCUGCUGCCUUUGAAAGGGUGAUGAAUAUAAAAGAUGGGGGAACAAAGAUUAAAAUGAUCGGCCCACUUCCUAAAACAGAUUUGGUGAAUGCUGUUGUGGGAAAAGAAUGCAGCGUUUGCUUGAGGAAGCUGGAGAAAGACCCGAGGGAGUCACAAGACGCCGACGACCUCUUCAUUGCAAGAUUUUCCCUGGCAUGCAUCGGCAGUAUCCUGUGUCCAAUGGCCGGAAAUAAAGUCAGUGCUUCCUACAUGAAGGUGUUGCAUGAUGUUAAUUCCAUAGCAUUGAAAGACUGGGCCACAUUCUGCGUGCGGUUCCUUAUGGAGUCCAUCAGGAAGUUCCAAGUGGGUGGGUACAAAUACUUGUCCGGAUGCUUAAUCUUUCUCCAGCUCUUCUAUUUGGAUCACGUUGACUCCGGUUACGUUGAUCGAACCAUUCCUUGCAUAGAUUUCUGGACGGACAUCCAAGUGAAGCGAGUGAAGAAGUGGCUUCAACAAUCAGGAGGAUUCCAAUUGAACAAUAUUCCGCUUGCUAGGGGGUCAGGACCGUAGCUGUUGGUACCUCUAAGUCCCCCCCUGUUGCUGUAGCUGAUGACGGGACAAAGCAGUAUGUUGACAGUCUAAGGCAGGUUGUAGAUGGUGUAAGGCAGGAUGUGGGCUCUCUGAAGCAAGACUUUGGCACAUUCAUGAGUGAGUUGACAGAAGUGAGAAAAAUCAUACUCACUUUACCACAAGAAACAUCUGCGAAAGUCCAAGUGGGUUUGGAUGCAAUGCAGAAGCAUUUAGACCAAAAGUUGAGUGAAAUAGCUUUAUCCAUUACAACCAGCCUGGUUGAAGAACGUACUAAAAAAGAGACCAUUGAGGAUAUCAUUAGGGCUGUUGCGGUUAAAGAUUCAGAGUCGACAAUGGAGUGCGAGGUGGAGAGUGUUGGAAAAAGACGAAAGAAUUUUGAGUUUAUAAAAAAAGAGAAGAAGGGAUUUAGUGAGAAAAAAAGUUAUACAGAGAACACCGAACCUGCGGCUGAGAGGGUAGUGCAUGAUCUUACGCACAUGGAGUUCGACGGGGAUAGUAGCCCCACAAAAUAAGUCCCCAAAAAAAAAAUUACUAGCGCAAACAGGUCCUUAUGGUGAGAAAGCCAUUGAAGUUUUCUCUAGUUCGGGGGGAAAGGUGGUGGGCUCUUUUCACCUAGAUGUGCCAGUCCUACUUGAGGUGAUGAAGCUUGCGAAAUGGAUGUUCAGCCCAUACUUGGAGUGGAGGUAUGGAAUCGUGCAAUUAAGUGUGUUUACCGAGUUUUUCGGAAACGAAUACAAACAAAAUAAUAAAAAGAUAAGAACUGUAGAAGUGCAGAAAUAUAAAUAAACAAACAGGUUUUUUACGUGGUUCAGGCGUUAACGAGUCCUAGUCCACGAGUCGAUGUUAUUAUACUUGUAGUGAAUUACAGUGAAAUGGCUGGUGUAUAAGACCCUCACAAACUCACAAUGUUUCUCUCGGGUUCUCUUGAAGAAGAUGAAGCUAGAGAGAUUUUUGGCAGAGUUCCUGCUCUCUAAUUUUUUUGACCCCCUCCUAUCGUAAAAUGAGGAGGUCUUUAUAGCUAGGGUUUUGGAUUAGGGUUUCACUCUGCCUCCCUGAGCCUUAAUUACACCAGCCAUAAAUAGGGGAUACAAUUACCGUAGUCGCCUGGCUACCAGGCUCUAUGUGGGUAUAUUUACAUGAAAGUAUGGGGAAUGCACAAAGGCAGCUGUCUUUUCCAAGCUGUCAGCGGAACAGUAGGCGAAAUGGUACUUUUAGGCGUGCUGGGAUGUGUGCGGCCUCGACCUGUCAGGCGUGUCAGGCGGGAUCCUGUGUCAGGUGGAUAUCACUCCAACUAUGCCUCCUCCAUGACUCGGCCGCUUGGUCUUCUUUCGUGCGAGGCACAGGACUGUAUCCGCGAAGGUAACCUGAAGAGCUUCUCCUGGAAGAACCUUCCCCGAAGGAUAUCCCUUCGGGAGUUCGGGAGAAUUGACGAGCUUCCGUGUCGCGGUUGCUUGAAAGAGUAAACUUGACACUAAACGGGAGAGGCGAAGCCUUUCUGUCCAUCCGCGAGCUCUGGUCACCUUUCGUGAAAGACUUUGAUAAUUCUGCUUCCCCGAGGCUAUCCAUCUAAACGCUAUUCGGAAAUCUGGAUAACAUUUACCCCCCAAGGUCACGGAGCUUUGAGAGGUCCGAGAGCUUGUACAGCCCUCCGGGUAUUCUGGUUUCUAGAUUAGGCGAGGGGUCACCUCCUAUGUUCCUGGAAGGGUUCCUUUUUCCCGCCUGAGUGUUAGUAUGAAAAAGAAAGGAAAUUUCUUUUGUUUGAACUCAAGUGCUCAAGUGUGGCAAUGGCCACGCGUCAUGCCGGGAAUGGCUCUGUGACCAAGACGUGUUCGUGAGGCGACUGGCUGAGUAUGCGUGCGUCAGGCAUCUGAGUAGUGAUUUGACGGUAUUUAAUGGUACACCGGGCCCGAGAUGGUAUAAUGAUGGGAAAUAAAUACUUUAUUCCCAUCUGAGGAGUCAUAAAUAGGACCGGCGCUUCAUCUCCAGCCGUCGGAUCUGAUGCAUGCGGUAUGGGAAGAUCAGGACCGUCCAUUUGUAGAAUUCGAAAGGACUUCGUUCCUGCUAUAAAAACGAGGGAACGGACCUUUCUUCCUCUUUACGCUCUCAAAUUCUCGAUCUUUCAGAUUUUCAGAUUCCCAAAUCUUCGAACUCUCAAGCUUCCAAGCUUCCUUUCCUUCGAAUUUGCCACUUCUUUUGGUAAGGAAUCUAGAAUCUUUUCUUUUGAUUUGGCAGUGGGUUUGUUCCCCGAAGUUCUGGGUUUGAAUCGUCGUUUGUCUUUGCAGCAUUUACUUCACGUGAUCGUGCGGUGCAGUGACCCGGUUACUCCUUCAAUCUUCAACUACCCGAACACCAGUAAGUAUUUCUACUUUGCUCUUUCCUUCCAAACCUUAGAUUGUUGGUAGUUGUUAGGGUUGAGUUUUCUGCCGGUGUCGUCUAUAUGCAUGCGUGAAUAGGGCUUUGAUAGGCAUGCGAUUGAUGUGAGUCGAUAAGUCAUUUCUUUGCAUGCUUUGCCGAUUUACUCUUGGAAAGGUGUUUUUCGUCUGCUUGUGCUGUCCUGGUUUAUUAUUUUAGGGCAUAAGCGUGAACGCCUUUAGGGUGUCUUUCCCUGGGAAAACAUUUCUCUCGGCGGGCUUAGGCUCGAAGUUUGAAUCUGGUUCCUUGCUGUCAUCCGGGUGGCAUGAUGCCAACCCCUCGGCAAGCUCGGUGGGAGCCUCUCCAAGCAGUUUUCGGGGAGGGUCUCCCCGACGCCUGUAAUGCCGUUAGGGUAUGACAAGGGUGCUGACUGCUAGGAGUGUUUUCUUCUUUGUUUCUUUUGCUUAGUGACGAACACCUCAAAGGAACAAGUCAUUGCUGCGGUAGAGGCUGAAUCUGCCCAGGAGCAGGGUUCCCCUGUUGCCGGCGCAAAGAAGAAAACAAAAGCUAAGGUGGCCACGGCUAGCCCACCGAUUAUCAAUAGUUCCAUCUGGGAGAUGGACCAGAAGCCGAACUUGUUCAGGAACUACGGCAUGCUGGAGCUGUAUUCCUCAGAAGCGGGCCUGAAGAACAUCCCGGGCCUGAUGUGGCACCGUCUGUCGGUGCUGGGUGAAUCUUCCAGCCAGAGUCACGAGGGUUUUGGUGCCUGGAGCUGGGCACACAUAUUGUGUGGGGCACAUUUGCCCCUAAGAAGUUAUUUUGCCAACUUCUGCGUGAAGGCGGGGAUUGCCCCCUUCCAGUUGAUUCCCCCAGCUACAAGCUUCUAGCGGGGUGGUAUAUCUUCUGCAAGUCCCGGGACCUGGAGGCCCCUACCUCGGAGGAGGUGCUAUACUUCUAUGGGCUGAAGUCUCAACCCAUGAGAGGUCAUGCAGACAAGGUGGGGUUUUAUAGGCUGGAGAGGUAUCCGGACGUGAUGUGUCCCACCUGUCAUACCGCGAGGGUUCCAGAUCUCCGGGAGUACUGGUUCCUGACGACUGGCUUCCCAUUGAAGAGGGUGCCAGCUCUGUCUUUGGACUUCAAAGUUCCUGGUAAGUGCUCCUUCCUUUCUUUUCUAGCUUUGUUUCUUCACGCUUGGUUUGCCUUCCGGGAGGAUCUCUAACACCCGUGUUUGGAUUCUGCAGAAGCCGUCCCGCGGACACCUCGCUGUGCGGAAAUGAUAAGGAGGUCAAACUUCUACGAGGGGCUCUCGGAGGAAGAGCUGAAGGUGGAAGGACUUGUGACCUCCGAAUCUUUGAGGGAGUAUGGGCUACUCGCCUCGUUCCAAAAUAUUGAGCCAGUGAGUGGCAGGGGGCAAAGUCAGGUGUCAGCUGACGUCCGGGAGCAGAUUGCCCUGAAGCUGUCCAAGGUGAUCUGUCAGGCGGCCCAGGACGAGAAUAAUUUAUCCCCCAGUUGGGCGGAGAAGAAAUUGAGGCUCGCUACGCCGCAGCUUACCCCAAUGAAGGGACUCCGGGAGCUGGUACUUCUGGGAAAGGUAAGAAUAGCUUUCGAUUGAUCCACACCCCCAGCCUGCCUGAGGUUUCCCGGACUUCUCAGAUAGGGUUCGAUCCCCGCUUCCUUAGGCUAGAUCCGCGUAGGAUACCCUUUGGCAGAUAUUGCGAUAGGGUAGAUGAGCUCCUCGGGUGUUUGAGUGACGAUAGUUUGUCAGAAGGUGUCACCAUGGUUGACCCUUCUUCCCUCAGCAUGUUAUUCCCGGACUUCGAGGAGCACGGGAGCUUCCUGGAGCAGGAAGCGAUGUCUUGUUUUGCUCGGGGAAGGCCAUCCACGUUUCUCGUGCAUGGUCGUCCCUUUCAAACUUUUCUCUUGCUUGUUUCUUGUUCCCCGCUGGUGGACUUGUUUGCGCUUUUAUGUUGUUGCAUGUUUUGUUUUCUGCUUAUCUUUCUUCACAUCGCUUGCUGGUUGGUUAACUUUGCUUCGUGCAUUGCUUGCAGAACAUCCCGAAGCAAAGAUGUUGGGGAGAGUCACCUUACUUAUCAAGAAGGCCGCCACCAGCCAAGAUCCGUCCAAGGGGAAAGGACGAAAAGCCAGAGCUGGUAGGGGAGGUAAAGCUGCCACAUCCAAGAAGACAGGUGGCGAGGCGCAAGUGUCUCCGGCGGUGGAGAGGUCUCCUGCCAAGGGGCCUUCCGAGACCAUGGCGGCCUCGAGUAGUAGCAGCGACGGGGAAGGGCUUGUGUUCCCCGCGAAGACGACCGGGACGAGCAAGCGCCCCGGAGGAGAGGCUGAGGGCGACAAGAAGAAACGCCUCAGACAUUCUUCUCCCGGAGGUGAUGGAGACCUCCGGGCUGCGCGCAGUCCUCGCUAGACUACUGUCACCCAGCAGCAACCACAACAACAACAACAACAGCAACAGCAAAGACAACCACCACCGUCGCAGCAGCAGCAAAAACAACAGCAAAAUCAGCAGCAACAACAAAGGCAAUUACUUCCGCCACCGCAGCAGCAAAAGCAACAGCAACAACAACAGCAACAACAAAGGCAAUCACCUCCGCCAUCGCAGCAGCAAAAACAACAGCAACACCAGCAGCAACAACAAACCGGGGCGGUAGUUUCUUCCCUACCGUCCCCAAUACCCCGUUUACCUCCUCCUCCAGUCCAAAGGGAGUCCACCCUUCCGGGGUCUCCUUCUUCUCCUUCUCUUCCACUUUCUCAACAAACAAGCCUUCCUCAGCCUGGCCUGAAGUUCCAAUUCCCUCAGAAACCAACCCGUUUCUCCGCUGCCCUCCUGGAGGGUGUAAGACGGGCUGAUAAUUUUUUGAAGAGGCGGUUGGAGGCCGAGAAAGCUGUUACUCAGGGAAGGGCAGACAACCUGUCUGCCGUGAAGAGAGCUGAGCUGGCAGAAGGGGUGAGAUCCCUUCACCCGGCUGGAGCGGUUCUAGAUGGCCCAGCCUUGGAGAAGAGGCUGGUGCCUAGACUCGGGCGUGCUUUGGCGCCGUUCGGGGCGGAGAUGAUGGAAGACAUGGCCUUGAGCUUGUGCGAGCUCAAUUCUGAGAAAUGGGCCAUCAGUAGCAGUAAGGACCCGCUGUUGCUGACACAUGCCGUAAAGCAGCAACUUACUGGGGUGAGCUAUCAAUUACUGUGUUCUGGGGUCGUUAGUCUUAGUACAUUUAGUUCUGCUUAACUUAUUCUGCUGUUUUUCCUUGCAGGCCUCUCUUAUCGCGGAACGCUCGUUCCGGGAGGUGGGUGCAGUUCUGGUUCAGCUGGAGGAGAGCCAGGCGGGUCGCCAGGCCUUGGAGGCGGAGAAGCAGAAACUGACCCAACAGGUCGAGGGCAUGAAGGGGGAGGCUAUGGAGAAGAUUAGCCAGGCCCGGCGCACAGCCGAGGAAGAGGCGGAUAAGAAAUAUCUUGCCAAAUAUCGAGAGUACCGGGCCAGCGCGAAGAAUGAGUUCAAGCAGCGGUCGGAUGACUUGAAGGCCCAUAACUCCAAGCUCCAGGAAGAGCUAUCCCAGGCCAGGGGGGAGAAGGACACCCUGGAUGCCCGCUUGCAAUCGAAAAACGAUCUCCUCCUUAAGUAGAACGAGGAAUACGCCAUUCUUCAGAAUAAGCUGCACGAGGAGGAGCAAGAUCAUAAGAGGAGCAAGGAUCUCGCGUCUAUGCUGGAGUUGGGGCUUGCUGAGAAGGAUAAACAGAUUGGAGCCUUGCAAUUUACUGUCAGGGGGCAUUUGACCGAGAAGCAAUCCUUGCUGGAUCAAAAUAGGGUGCAGCGCAAGGAGAUUGAUUCCCUUAAGGGAGAGCGGGAUGCAUCCAAAGGCCGAGCUGGAAAAACUGAGGGCUCAAUUGGUUGUCGCGGAAGCAAAGCUGGCGACCUCUGAGGCGGAGCGCUUGAAGGAGAAGGAAAAUGCCGAGGUGGUGCUGAAUAGAACGAUUAAUCUAUCCCACGUGGUCCUCAUGCACCAACUUUGGAAAAUAAACCCGGAGGUAGUAGGCUACCUGGGAGAGGACGUCGCCGCCAUGAGGGAAAAGAUACAGGCGUGGGAUCAAAGCCCAGAGGUGUACGUCCAGACUUAUAACAUUGACGAGCCUGCUGGAGUCCCUGAGGCAGAAGAUCCCGAAGAGGCGGGGACCUCUGAACUUGCCAUUGAUGACGUUCCAUCUUCCAAUGAACUGACUCCGCCAGCCCCAGUUGAAACCGCUGUCUCCGAGACCCCGGUCGUGGAUGCCGCUGCCACCCCCAGUGCUUGAAGGGGUCUUAUCUUUUGUAAAAAAUAUUCUUUACUGAUUAUUAUUUUUCAUUUGUAUUUUUCUUUGGGGCGAAGCUCCCUGUACUCUUUUCUCAUUGCAGACAUAUUUGCCAUAAUUAUAGCAUUCUUCUUUCCUUUUC